rnacentral:rRNA from 1 species
AUUGAACGCUGGCGGCAGGCCUAACACAUGCAAGUCGAACGAGUGGCGGACGGGUGAGUACUGUCUGGGAAACUGCCCGAUGGAGGGGGAUAACUACUGGAAACGGUAGCUAAUACCGCAUACCCUCGGAUGUGCCCAGAUGGUAUUAGCUAGUAGGUGGGGUAACGGCUCACCUAGGCGACGAUCCCUUGCUGGUCUGAGAGGAUAACCAGCCACACGGGGACUGAGACACGGUCCAGACUCCUACGGGAGGUAGCAGUGGGGAAUAUUGCACAAUGGGCGCAAGCCUGAUGCAGCCAUGCCGCGUGUGUGAAGAAGGCCUUCGGGUUGUAAAGUACUUUCAGCGAGGAGGCGUUACUCGCAGAAGAAGCACCGGCUAACUCCGUGCCAGCAGCCGCGGUAAUAC